UUCAAUUUUUUUAUUAUUAUAUGUAAUAAUUUUUAAAUUGUAAUAAAGAUAGAGUUACAAAUAAUUUUUGCUCUGAUCUUUCCACAAGAUGUUCAUGUUAUAUAGGUUCUUGUUGGCGCACAAUGAAAUAGGGGGCUCGACCUUUAAUUCAGUGCAAUAAUGCCUCUUCAGGUAUCUAGAGUAGAAGACACAUAUGUACAAGGACUUUCAGAAGACAGCUUUCUUUCUUUUUUCUCUUUUUUUUAUACAUAUUGAAGCAAAUGAAUAUAUCAUUUGGAUAUCAAUUGAAAAAAAUAAAUAUAUCACUACUGAACCAAAUUACUGGCGGAACCCACAUAUUAAAGAAUUUUACAACUAUUAAUUAAUUUAAUAAGUCUAUCUUUGAUUUAGUUAGGCUUGGGUGACUCUAAACUGGCCCCCUAUAUUUGUAUUUUGAUUAAUUCCUGAAUUUGCUGUUGUAAGCAAGAUAGCGCUUUUUUUUUCAUUAUUAAUCCAAUUAAAAAAAUUUAUAAAAAUCAAUUUUAUCAUUUUUAAUAUAAUAAUAAUUUUCUUUCAUCAUCACAUAUGAGAUACAAAAAAUCUCAAAAAUCUAUUAGCUAAAAAAUGAUAAUAUAUAAAUGAUAAAUAUUUAAACAAUGAAACAAAUGCAAUUAGUUGGGACACUUUCAUUCAUAAUGAUUAUUUGUUAUCAUACAACAGAAUGAAGAUUUAAAUGGAUCUAACAUGCAUUCGUGAAAGUCUAUUUCAUUAAACUUUCAGGAAUUUCAAUUAUAAGUGUCAGAUACAAUGCCUAACGAGAAACUAUGAAACUAAAUUGCUAUCUUCUAUGUAUAAUUUAUAAUUGUAUAGCGAAUUGCUCAGUAAUACGAUUAAAUGCUAUAUUCAUAAGUAAAGAAUUGGGCGGAUCGACUACUCCUAAGGCCUCGCUCAUCAAUUAUUUUGAAUUAAUUUAGUCCCACACAUUCAUUCUAAAAGUCUAAGUUAGGAUAGUUGGGAUUAAAUUGAAAGGACGUUAGUCUAUUUUCAGUUUUUCUAGAAAAUAAAAAAGAAGAAACA